rnacentral:rRNA from 1 species
CCUACGGGCGGCUGUAGUGAGGAAUAUUGGUCAAUGGACGAGAGUCUGAACCAGCCAAGUAGCGUGAAGGAUGACUGCCCUAUGGGUUGUAAACUUCUUUUAUAAAGGAAUAAAACGAGGCACGUGUGCCUUUUUGCAUGUACUUUAUGAAUAAGGAUCGGCUAACUCCGUGCCAGCAGCCGCGGUAAUACGGAGGAUCCGAGCGUUAACCGGAUUUAUUGGGUUUAAAGGGAGCGUAGAUGGGUUGUUAAGUCAGUUGUGAAAGGUUGCGGCUCAACCGUAAAAUUGCAAUUGAUACUGGCAGUCUUGAGUACAGUUGAGGUAGGCGGAAUUCGUGGUGUAGCGGUGAAAUGCUUAGAUAUCACGAAGAACCCCGAUUGCGAAGGCAGCUUACUAAACUGUGACUGACAUUGAUGCUCGAAAGUGUGGGUAUCAAACAGGAUUAGAUACCCUAGUAGUC